AGGAAUAAAUCCAACUUGAUCAUAACAUCCAACUGUGUUGCCCAGGCUAGUCUCAAACUCCUGGAUUCAAGAGCCCCUCUCCUCUCAGCCUACGAAAGUGCUGGGAUUAAAGUCCUGAACUGACAGCCACAAGUGGCACCUGAACAGGGACUUGAACAAAGAAGGUCUGCUGGAGCAGAAAAAGUGAAACUGACCAGAUGAAUGAGAAACCCUGGGAUGAGUCUGCCUGCAGAGGAUAUAAGGAGAUGGAUAAACCGUGUGAGUGCCCUCAAGUUGUGUGCGACCAUGGAAUGGGAGACUGGAGGGAUACAUGGAUCCCAACUACAGGCCCAGCUCCUCCAGUAUGAGCCAUGAGCCAGUUGAAUCUGAAUGUGAAGAUGGAAUGAAGACCGACGAGAGUCACACUGACGUCAACCCUCAUAACAUGGGUCUGUAAAAUCAACUGGAACACCAAC
rnacentral:lncRNA from 10 species